CUCCUGAGCUGACUUGUCCCUCCAAGCAAUGGCGUGGCAGACAGUUGGACUGAAGGACUGAGUGCCAACUGGCUCGGACUGCUCCAUCGAAGCUGAUCUCAAGGUGUCCCACAUCCUCCAGAAAGCCACUCUGCUGUGGCCUCAUCCAGGUGCAGAGCAGACCUUAAACAGUGGGAGCUGUUGGCUGGUCAUUGGUCUUCCCCUGACCAUGUAGUAAAGGAGCACUCCUGGCCUUUAAUGACAGAAUAUACUUGGGGAACUGAAGACAAUACAAAGGAGGAAUGUGAUGUCAGCUGGAUCACCAAAAGAAGGCAAGAAAGCUAGGGAGACCACACAGCAGAGUAAAAGUACUUGCCCUGAAGAUGUGAGUACCAGAGGGCAGCGCCCCAGAACCUUUGAGAUCUCUAUGCUCAAGGAGGUGAAGAGAUUGUCUCCAGAUUCCCAAGUCCUGCUCCUUCCCUCCUUCCCUUUGGGCUGUGACACAGCAUUCUGUGUCGGCCAGGACAAUAUCAAAUGGCUUGUUUUUACAUCAUUGAUUUUACUUUGAUGAGCAUUCCCAGGAGUCAGCAAAUGACAAGCUGUUCUCCAAUACAUCCUGUAUCCUUGUUUUGAGGGAGCUGUGUUGGGAUGUAGUUGAACAAUAGUGAAACGCAUGUAUUGAAAGUGUAUAGCUGGGUUAGAAUUGGCUUGUUUAGGUUCACUGUAACCCCUCAAAUUAAAAUGAUGUCUUCUCCUAUA